UACAGAGGUCCCGAGCGUUGUUCGGAUUCAUUGGGCGUAAAGGGUGCGUAGGCGGUUUGCUAAGUUUGAUGUGAAAUCCCGGGGCUCAACCCUGGAAUUGCAUUGAAUACUGGCGGACUAGAGUCCUGGAGAGGAAACUGGAAUUUACGGUGUAGCAGUGAAAUGCGUAGAGAUCGUAAGGAGGACCAGUGGCGAAGGCGAGUUUCUGGACAGGUACUGACGCUGAGGCACGAAGGCCAGGGGAGCAAACGGG
rnacentral:rRNA from 1 species